AAUGUACGCUGGCGGCACGCCUAACACAUGCAAGUCGAGCGAGGUACUUGUACCUAGCGGCAGACGGGUGCGUAACAUGUGGGAAUCUGCCCUUUUGGUUCGGAACAACAUCGGGGAAACCUGUGCUAAUACCGGAUAAGUCCUUACGGAGAAAGAUUUUAUCGCCGAAAGAUGAGCCCGCACUAGAUUAGCUUGUUGGUAAGGUAAAAGCUUACCAAGGCAACGAUCUAUAGCUGAUUUGAGAGGAUGAUCAGCCACACUGGGACUGAGACACGGCCCAGACUCCUACGGGAGGCAGCAGUGGGGAAUCUUGCACAAUGGAGGAAACUCUGAUGCAGCGAUGCCGCGUGAGUGAAGAAGGCCCUUGGGUUGUAAAGCUCUUUCGUCGGGGAAGAAAAUGACUGUACCCGAAUAAGAAGGUCCGGCUAACUUCGUG
rnacentral:rRNA from 1 species